rnacentral:lncRNA from 1 species
UUUUGAAAUGUUUCAAAUACUGAGAUAUUUCACUGACCAGUUUGGUAGAUAGACAACUAAGUUAUUUUUCAAUUACAAAGUUAACUUUGGAAACUCUAUAAUCACGAAACACAUCGUAAUCUGAACUAAAUUCUAAAGAAAGACACAUUUGAUAACACAGUAUAAAGGAUGGAAGUGUGACAGCUGGAAUGUUUUUGUGUGUAGGUCUGCUCGAGCAGGGGUAAUUAAUCUAAGGUCUAGACACCAACACAGCAAUAAGCCAACAAUGUGGUGGUCACUCAACCUGCUACAAAUAGCAACCAAAUCUCCUCCAAAUCACACAUUACUGUUUUCAAAGAGGAAGAACACUGUAGACCCUGAUAUUCAAAUUGGACAGUGACAUCCCUGGUAUCCCAAAAUGACAGAAUGAUCAAGCCUAGAACGUCUUAGAGCAUGCAUAGGUUUGCUUGAUAAGAGCUGACCUUGGUUGAAACAACAACAGCAACAGCAAGAACAAAAUAAGCGAAAGAAGCAAGCUAAGGUUAAGUUAACAAUGGUGAUCAUGGUGAUUGUGUUA